rnacentral:lncRNA from 1 species
CUAGAAGUUAAACCUUGUGCUUAAUUUUCAGAGCUUCAGUUUUCCCAUACAUACUAUGGGAAUUUUACCUCUUGGUUAUUUUUUGGAAUGGUAAAGUUCUUAUCAAGGUAUCCGGCAUGUUGAAAUUUCUCAAUAAAUGGAAACGACCCAGACAUAUCACUGAGGGAUGUGGCAUCACAGAAAUAUCACUGAGGCCAAGGAAAAAAGGAACCUCUGAGGUGGGCAGAGCAGGUACGAUGGCCACCACUAGGCAGAGGAGGGAAGUCAGAAUCCAGGAAGGUGAUGUGACUACCUCAGAAUCACCCCACAAAAUAAGGAAGAGCGGCAGGUAAACUCUGUGACAGCAGGGAUUCUAUCUCACAGAGGUUCUGUAGACCCCAAACACACAUCACAGGUGCUUAGCAAGUGAGAAAGAUAAAAGUGGCCCAAGAAAAUAAGGGCUCCUAUGAACUCACCAAUGGACUGGUCUCCCAGCUGCUCAGUCUUCAAUGCCCAUUCUAAGCUUAAACGGCCACGCAGAAACAAGAUCAAUUCCUUUUCAAGCCUAUAGGAAUUAAGCACCUGCAUAGAGUUGUCACCUGAUUCUUGGUACACUUCACACAUGGGGGUAAAUUUUCAGUGCAAAUAGCUAUUUCAGAAAGCUGAGCCUGGCAAAGACAUCGGUGCCAUUUCUCUGUUUUUAAGCAAUAGGGUCCUGUUCUAUUGCUGAGGAAGCUUCCUCCACACAGGACAAAGUUCUGAUCAUGCCACAUGUCUGUUCAGGAGCCCUCAGAGGCUCCCAUUGAAGGUUGUGUGCUCUGCUCCCAUACGCUGAACUCAGGC